rnacentral:rRNA from 2 species
ACUGAUUUUAACAAUGAAGCGAGUGGCGAACUGGUGAGUAACACGUGGGAAAUCUGCCCAGAAGCAGGGGAUAACACUUGGAAACAGGUGCUAAUACCGUAUAACAACAAAAUCCGCAUGGAUUUUGUUUGAAAGGUGGCUUCGGCUAUCACUUCUGGAUGAUCCCGCGGCGUAUUAGUUAGUUGGUGAGGUAAAGGCCCACCAAGACGAUGAUACGUAGCCGACCUGAGAGGGUAAUCGGCCACAUUGGGACUGAGACACGGCCCAAACUCCUACGGGAGGCAGCAGUAGGGAAUCUUCCACAAUGGACGAAAGUCUGAUGGAGCAAUGCCGCGUGAGUGAAGAAGGGUUUCGGCUCGUAAAACUCUGUUGU